rnacentral:rRNA from 1 species
GACGAACGCUGGCGGCGUGCUUAACACAUGCAAGUCGAACGGAGUGGCGAACGGGUGAGUAACACGUGGGUGAUCUGCCUUGCACUUCGGGAUAAGCAUGGGAAACUGGGUCUAAUACCGGAUAGUGCAAGAUGAGCUCGCGGCCUAUCAGCUUGUUGGUGGGGUAAUGGCCUAACAAGGCGUCGACGGGUAGCCGGCCUGAGAGGGUGUCCGGCGCAAUUGGGACUGAGAUACGGCCGAGACGCCGACGGGAGGCAGCAGGGGGGAAUAGUGCACAAUGGGCGGAAGCCUGAUGCAGCGACUCCGCGUGGGGGAGGAAGGCCUUCGGGUUGUAAACGCCUUUCGACAGGGACGUGGUACCUGUAUAGAAAGCACCGGCUAACUACGUGCCAGCCGCCGCGGUAAUAC